AGAGUUUGAUCCUGGCUCAGGACGAACGCUGGCGGCGUGCCUAAUACAUGCAAGUCGAACGGUCUUUUCUAUGGAAGCUUGCUUCCACUGAGAAGAUAGUGGCGAACGGGUGAGUAACACGUGGGUAACCUGCCCAUAAGAGGGGGAUAACAUCCGGAAACGGGUGCUAAUACCGCAUAGUUUUCUUGAUCGCAUGAUUGAGAAAGGAAAGACGGCCUUUGUGCUGUCGCUUAUGGAUGGACCCGCGGCGUAUUAGUUAGUUGGUGAGGUAACGGCUCACCAAGACGAUGAUACGUAGCCGACCUGAGAGGGUGAUCGGCCACAUUGGGACUGAGACACGGCCCAAACUCCUACGGGAGGCAGCAGUAGGGAAUCUUCCGCAAUGGACGAAAGUCUGACGGAGCAACGCCGCGUGAGUGAAGAAGGUUUUCGGAUCGUAAAGCUCUGUCUUCAAGGACGAAUGUAGAUAUUGUGAAUAAUGAUAUUUAAUGACGGUACUUGAGGAGGAAGCCACGGCUAACUACGUGCCAGCAGCCGCGGUAAUACGUAGGUGGCAAGCGUUGUCCGGAUUUAUUGGGCGUAAAGCGAGCGCAGGCGGUUCCUUAAGUCUGAUGUGAAAGCCCACGGCUCAACCGUGGAAGGUCAUUGGAAACUGGGGAACUUGAGUGCAGAAGAGGAGAGUGGAAUUCCAUGUGUAGCGGUGAAAUGCGUAGAUAUAUGGAGGAACACCGGUGGCGAAAGCGGCUCUCUGGUCUGUAACUGACACUGAGGCUCGAAAGCGUGGGGAGCAAACAGGAUUAGAUACCCUGGUAGUCCACGCCGUAAACGAUGAGUGCUAGGUGUUGGGUCCUUUCCGGGACUCAGUGCCGCAGCUAACGCAUUAAGCACUCCGCCUGGGGAGUACGGCCGCAAGGCUGAAACUCAAAGGAAUUGACGG
rnacentral:rRNA from 1 species